GAUAUUUCAAAACCUGGCUCUCUUCAUGCUAAGUCUGAUGAUCAAGCAGAAUGUGGCCCUAGCAGUUCAUCUGGGGAAGCAACUCCAAAAAGG